rnacentral:pre_miRNA from 1 species
AUAUAUUUCAACUAAGGAUCUUGUUCAUGGGUAGAUUCUUUUUAAGUAGGUCUGAAAAUAAGCCUGAGAUUCUACAUUUCUCACAAGCUCCCAGAUGAUACUGUU